ACUAUCAUUAACUGAAUCCAUAGGUUAAUGAGGCGAACCGGGGGAACUGAAACAUCUAAGUACCCCGAGGAAAAGAAAUCAACCGAGAUUCCCCCAGUAGCGGCGAGCGAACGGGGAGGAGCCCAGAGCCUGAAUCAGCAUGUGUGUUAGUGGAAGCGUCUGGAAAGGCGCGCGAUACAGGGUGACAGCCCCGUACACAAAAGCGCAUGUGCUGUGAGCUCGAUGAGUAGGGCGGGACACGUGGUAUCCUGUCUGAAUAUGGGGGGACCAUCCUCCAAGGCUAAAUACUCCUGACUGACCGAUAGUGAACCAGUACCGUGAGGGAAAGGCGAAAAGAACCCCGGCGAGGGGAGUGAAAAAGAACCUGAAACCG
rnacentral:rRNA from 1 species